rnacentral:rRNA from 1 species
UACGUAGGGGGCAAGCGUUGUCCGGAAUCAUUGGGCGUAAAGCGCGUGUAGGCGGCCAGAUAAGUCCGCUGUGAAAUCUCGAGGCUCAACUUCGAGCUGUCGGUGGAAACUGUCUGGCUAGAGUCCGGAAGAGGAGAAUGGAAUUCUUGGUGUAGCGGUGAAAUGCGCAGAUAUCAGGAAGAACCCCCGUGGCGAAGGCGGUUCUCUGGGACGGUACUGACGCUGAGACGCGAAAGCGUGGGGAGCGAACAGG